GCGGGUUUAGCUCAGUUGGGAGAGCGUCAGACUGAAGAUCUGAAGGUCCCGUGUUCGAUCCACGGAAACCGCA